rnacentral:rRNA from 1 species
GAUGAACGCUAGCGGCAGGCUUAAUACAUGCAAGUCGAGGGGCAGCAGUUUUGUAGCAAUACAGAAGCUGGCGACCGGCAAACGGGUGCGGAACACGUACGCAACCUUCCUUUAACUGGAAGAUAGCCCACCGAAAGGUGGAUUAAUACUCCAUAACAUAUUGAAGAGGCAUCUCUUUGAUAUUAAAGCUCCGGCGGUUAAAGAUGGGGGUGCGUCUGAUUAGGUAGUUGGCGGGGUAACGGCCCACCAAGCCUUCGAUCAGUAGCUGAUGUGAGAGCAUGAUCAGGCACACGGGCACUGAGACACGGGCCCGAGUCCUACGGGAGGCAGCAGUAAGGAAUAGUGGUCAAUGGACGCAAGUCUGAACCAGCCAUGCCGCGUGGAGGAUGAAGGCCCUCUGGGUUGUAAACUUCUUUUCUUUGGGACGAAACCCCUGUUUCUACGGGGACUGACGGUACCAGGGGAAUAAGCACCGGCUAACUCCGUGCCAGCCGCCGCCGUAAGAC